rnacentral:rRNA from 1 species
GACGAACGCUGGCGGCGUGCCUAAUACAUGCAAGUCGAGCGAAGUUUUUCUGGUGCUUGCACUAGAAAAACUUAGCGGCGAACGGGUGAGUAACACGUAAAGAACCUGCCUCAUAGACUGGGACAACUAUUGGAAACGAUAGCUAAUACCGGAUAACAGCAUUAACUGCAUGGUUGAUGUUUAAAAGUUGGUUUUGCUAACACUAUGAGAUGGCUUUGCGGUGCAUUAGCUAGUUGGUGGGGUAAAGGCCUACCAAGGCGACGAUGCAUAGCCGACCUGAGAGGGUGAUCGGCCACACUGGGACUGAGACACGGCCCAGACUCCUACGGGAGGCAGCAGUAGGGAAUCUUCCGCAAUGGGCGAAAGCCUGACGGAGCAACGCCGCGUGAGUGAAGAAGGAUUUCGGUUCGUAAAGCUCUGUUGUUAGGGAAGAAUGAUUGUGUAGUAACUAUACACAGUAGAGACGGUACCUAACCAGAAAGCCACGGCUAACUACGUGCCAGCAGCCGCGGUAAUACGUAGGUGGCAAGCGUUGUCCGGAAUUAUUGGGCGUAAAGCGCGCGCAGGUGGUUUAAUAAGUCUGAUGUGAAAGCCCACGGCUCAACUGUGGAGGGUCAUUGGAAACUGUUAAACUUGAGUGCAGGAGAGAAAAGUGGAAUUCCUAGUGUAGCGGUGAAAUGCGUAGAGAUUAGGAGGAACACCAGUGGCGAAGGCGGCUUUUUGGCCUGUAACUGACACUGAGGCGCGAAAGCGUGGGGAGCAAACAGG